rnacentral:lncRNA from 10 species
UAAGAGGGCAGUUCCCCUGCACAGGCCCUCUUGCCUGUUGCCAUGUAAGACAUGCCUUUGCUCUUCCUUCAUCUUCUGCUGUGAUCAUGAGGCCUCCUCAGCCAUGUGAGGUAAUUGGGAGAUGUAUUAAACUUCUUUCCUUUAUAAAUUACCCAGUCUUGGGUAUGUCCUUAUUAGCAGCAUGAGAAUGGACUAAUACAGUAAAUUUGUACUGAAAGAGUGGGGUGCUGCUGUAAAGAUACCAGAAAAUGUGGAAGUGUCUUUGGAACUGGGUAACAGACAGAGAUUGGAACAGUUUGGAGGUCUCAAAGGAGGACAGGAAGAUGUGGGAAAGUUUGGAACUUCCUAGAAACUUGUUGAACGGUCAAAAUGAUGAUAGUGAUAUCGACAAUGAAGUCCAGGCUGAGAUGGUCUCAGAUGGAGAUGAGGAACUUGUUGGAAACUGGAGUAAAGGUCACUCUUGCUAUACAAAGAGACUGACAGCAUUUUGCCCCUGCCCUAGAGAUCUGUGGAACUUUGAACUUGAGGGAGAUGAUUUGGGGUAUCUGGUGGAAGAAAUUUCUUAGUGGCAUAGCAUUCAAGAGGUGACAGAGCACAAAAGUUUGAAAAAUUUGCAGCCUGACAACGCAGUAGAAAAGAAAAACCCAUUUUCUGGGCAGACAUUCAAGCUGGCUGCAGAAAUUUGCAGUAAAUAACAAGGAACCAAAUGCUCAUCUCCAAGACAAUGGGGAAAAUGUCUCCAGGGCAUGUCAGAUACCUUCAUGGCAGCCCCUCCCAUCACAAGCCUGGAGGUCUAGGAAGGAAAAAUGGUUUCAUGGGCCGGGCCCAGGUUCCCCCUGCUCUAUGCAGCCUCUGAACAUGGUACCCUGCAUCCCAGCUGUUUCAGCUCCAGCCAUGACUAAGAAGGUCCAACAUACAGCUCAGGCCAUUGUUUCAGAGGGUGCAAACCCCAAGCCUUGGUGACUUACACAGGGUGUUGGGCCUGUGGGUGCACAGAAGUCAAGAAUUCAGGUCUGGGAACCUCCACCUAGAUUUUAGAGGCUAUAUGGGAAUGCCUGGGUGUUCAGGCAGAAGUCGGCUCUGGGGACAGUGCCCUCGUGGAAAACCUCUACAAGAGCAGUGUGGAAGGGAAAUGUGGGAUUGGAGCCCCCACACACAGUCUCCACUGGGGCUCUGCCUAGUGGAGCUGUGAGAAGAGGUCCACCGUUCUCCAGACCCCAAAAUAGAAGAGCCACUGACGGCUUGCACCAUGCACCUGGAAAAGCCACAGACACUCAGCACCAGCCCAUGAAAGCACCCAGGAAGGGAGGUGUACCCUGCAAAGCCAGAGGGGUGGAGCUGCCCAAGACCAUGGGAACCCACCUCUUGCAUCAGCGUGACCUGGAUGUGAGACAUGGAGUCAAAGGAGAUCACUUUGGAACUUUAAGGUUUAACAACUACUGUAUUGGAUUGUGGACUUACAUGGGGCCUAGAGCCCCUUUGUUUUGGCCAUUUCUCCCAUUUGGAAUAGGAAUAUUUACCCAAUGCCUGUACCCCCAUUGUAUCUAGAAAGUAACUAACUUGUUUACAGGCUCAUAGGCAGAAGGGACUUGCCUUAUCUCAGAUAAGACUUUGGACUGUGGACUUUUGAGUUAAUGCUGAAAGGAGUUAAGACUUUGGGGGACUGUUGGGAAGGAAAGAUUGUGUUUUGAAAUGUGAAAGGGACAUGAGAUUUGGGAGGGGCCAGGGGCAGAAUGAUAUAGUUUGGCUCUGUGUCUCCACCCAAAUCUCACCUUGAAUUAUAAUAAUCCCCAUGUGUCAUGGGAGGGACUCAGUGGGAGGUAAUUGAAUCAAGGGGGUUGGGUCUUUCCCAUGCUGUUCUUGUCUCAAGAGAUCUGAUGGUUUUAUAAAAGGGCAGUUCCCCUGCACACAAUCUCUCUCCUGCCACCAUGUAAAUGUGCCUUUGCUCUUCCUUUGCCUUCCACCAUGAUUGUGAGGCCUCCCCAGCCAUGUGAAACUGCAAUCACUUCUGAAGAGUCCAGCCUUGGAAUGAUACUAGAAUUCUGGAAGAAGAAUCUUGUCUCAAGGCAUCUGAAAGUUUCAGUGGUGUAUUUUUCUUCUUAACUGCAGAGCUUUGACUUUCUGGAACAAAAGAGGAAGAGGAGUUGUGGCAAAGACUGGAACUAACCCUUAACCUAGAAGAGAAACUGGUCAGACAUGGAUGGAUGGAUUUGGUUCAGCCCUGUUCAGACUUGCUACUCAUUGCAUCAAUGUUCCCGUUCAAUCCGUCAGACGCACCCAUGUCCCUUCUGUAGAAAUCAGUGAAUCAUAUUGAAUCCUGAGUAAGCGAUCGUGAGCUUUACCAUUUUAAGCUCUAUCUAUUGCUUCUGUCUCUUACUGCCUUUUCUGUCUUGCCUGCCUGUUUGCUGUCACCCUCACAUCAAUGUCUGUCAAGCAUUUGAAUAGGGAAGUAGGUUGAGAAGGGGAUUUGGAAUGAGGAGUUACUUUGAAAAUAAUUGGGCUAAAAUUAAGGAGACCUUAUUUGGUUCUGGUCCUCGUUGCUUUUAUUAAUCUAAAUAAUAAGCACUCUGAAAGAAAAUGAUAUUUAUUUAGCAUGGGUACUGCAAUGGGAAUACACAUACCGUAGUAAACUAUGUGCUUAUUCAGGAGGGUAAAGAAAGGCAAUGGUUUUUAAAGAAAAAUGAAGAGGAGUACACAAUUAUUUCGAGAUAAUUAUUCCUGGUUACAAGGAUCAAUAAUAAGGAUGGCACCAGUUUGAAGUCAGAUAGGCAGUUGCUGGGCAGAUAUCCUUGCAGAAGUAUUUUUUUUUGUGCAAGGUUGCAAUGGCCUUUGUGCAAGGUUGUGGUUUUGCAGUCUUUUCUGACAAUUCCUGUUGUCAGGCAUUCGUGAAUGGGAACCCUUUCUUCAUUGCUUUCCCGAGCUCCAUCUGUCAGGAUUUUUAACACAAUUGCCUCCAUUUUAAUUCUGACAAUUUUCACGUUUUUAACUAGCUCCUUGACCUUGAAUGAAUUCCAUUAUGUUUCUGGAUAUAAUUUAUAAAAUUAUUAAAUUGCAAUAAAUAGUGUUAUUGAGUUUUUAUCAGUCUCAUACUUUAUGAUUUUUACAUAAAUUGGUUAUUUUUUGGAAAACAGACUUUUCUGAUAUAUACAAUGUACUGUCUAGGCAGAAAAUUAGAUGGGAUAGUACAAUGAUGUGACAGUGUAAUUCCAAAAGAUUAACAGCAUCAAAACAAUUGUUAGGGAAAGAGAAGGAACUAGGGGAGAGGAUACCGACCUGAGGAUAAUAGUGAAUGGCAUGGACCUCCAGACUCAUCAUGUAAAAUUGACAUUGUCAAGGGAAACGGCUUGCAACUUAGUACUCCCAACUUAGUGCUGCUUAGGUGUAGAAAUUGGUUAUUAUUUUACACUAACAAUGUUUGUUUCAAUGUUUUACUUUAGUUUAUAUCUUUUGCUUCACUUUUUAUUUAUGAAUUUUUUCUUUAUAAUAGAAAAAUGUAAAACCCUAAAGUGAACAAAAAGCAUAAAAUAAUCAUAUUAAUUGCUCAAAAUUGUUUUGACAAACUUUCAAAAUUUUAGUGUUUAUUAUUUUCAUUACUAUAUUGUAUUAUUUUUAUAUGAUGUAUAUAUUAAUUUUUCUAAAAGCAUAUUCCAAGACAAGGACUUGAAUGCAAAUAAUUUGAAAUGAUCAGGGGACAUAAGCAUGGUGGUGGGCCCAUGAAACUGGGGGUGGGUAACUGGAGUUAAUCUCAUGGAGAAACUUCCCACCUGAAGUUCAAGGCAGGUGGAUUUAAGGCUGCUGGGGUGGGUGUUAACCUUCCAGCAUUUCUGGACCAUUGUCAGUGUGUAGUGGGGUACAGCAGAUUUCCAAGAGUGGGG